CUCGUAGAUUAGAGUUUGAUCCUGGCUCAGGAUGAACGCUAGCGGCAGGCCUAACACAUGCAAGUCGAGGGGCAGCGGGGAUAAGCUUGCUUAUCCGCCGGCGACCGGCGCACGGGUGCGCAACGCGUAUAGAAUCUGCCCUGUACUGGGGAAUAGCCCAGAGAAAUUUGGAUUAAUGCCCCAUGGUAUGUUUAAGCGGCAUCGCUUUUACAUUAAAGGCUACGGUACAGGAUGACUAUGCGUCCCAUUAGUUAGUUGGUAAGGUAACGGCUUACCAAGGCAGCGAUGGGUAGGGGCCCUGAGAGGGGGAUCCCCCACACUGGUACUGAGACACGGACCAGACUCCUACGGGAGGCAGCAGUGAGGAAUAUUGGACAAUGGGCGGGAGCCUGAUCCAGCCAUGCCGCGUGCAGGAAGACGGUCCUAUGGAUUGUAAACUGCUUUUGUACGGGAAGAACAAGGGGCACGUGUGCCCUUCUGACGGUACCGUAAGAAUAAGGAUCGGCUAACUCCGUG
rnacentral:rRNA from 1 species